rnacentral:piRNA from 3 species
UGCUGAUGCCAAGAAGUGCUUGCUGA